CCUGAGGCAGACAACACAAGAGGCUCCGGCUCCGCUCUAGCUCCUCUCGCUCUGAUUGGUCAAAGCGAAAAGAGCACUACUGCGCACGCUCAAACGGCCCACAGCCACUGUAAGUACCUCGCCCGGCUAAAGGCGAAUUUGGAGUCAUGCACCACUGAGCUCGAUCCAUUGACUUGAACGGGCGGCCAUUCUGAAACCUCGGGGCUUGGUCACUUCACUGCGAAACACAAUUUUCAAUCAAUCAUUC